rnacentral:lncRNA from 1 species
ACCAAUAAAUGAAGAAAAUAAUUAAAACAGAUUCGAUCUCACAGUAAUUGUCGAACCAAAUCGUCAGUUGUCCCCUUGACUAGAAAAGCUUAACCACGCCUCAUGAGAAACUCUCCCCGUUGGGAAAUAUUGUCGAACACCUGGCGUGUGUCAAAGGCCAGUCCGGAGAAAGCAAAACUAAAACUAAACUAAAAGACUAAAACUCCAGAUGUCCCUGCUACUCUACGUUAUCCCUAUUUAAGCAACAAGAGGAAGAUGACUAAAGGCUAUCUAGGUGGUCCCCACACAUGUGGACAAAGCCCUCCAAGUACUUCUUGUUCCAAGUCUCUUUUCCGUAGCUUUCUUUUAAGAGCCCAAAUGACUAGAUGCUUUCCACUAGCUUGUGGUCCCCCACCAAUUCAAGGGCCCAAGAAUUGAAGCCCUUAGAAGUCUCCCUAUUUUCCAUAAAGUCCUUCCUUUUUGAUGAUUUUCUGCUUCAUUCCUGAAAUUAAGUCCAGAUACCAAAUAUGAGUAAAUAUCAACAAUUAAUACAAUAUUUAUCAGGGAUAAAAGGGAAAAUUAAUAAUAAAAAUACUAACAAAUUAUACCCUAUCAAUUCCCCCCACACCUGAAUCAUGCUUGCCCUCAAGCAUGGGGACAACUCAACUCAAAACUGGCUAGCAUUCAAGCUUUCAUUGCCAGCUGUGCUUAUACCAAAAAAUCAAGAUUUAACGGCUAAGUGUCAAGUCAGAUCUCACUCGGUUAGCUUCUAAGUUCAUAGACCUGUCCAAUUCAUGGCUAAUUCGCGUAGGAAAUCCAAAUAUUAACUAGCAACAGUCAGUAAUUAAGUCAACUGGCAACCAAAAUCUCAACAAUACGAACCAAGGAUCGGCAGGCUAACAUGAUCAUAAACUCACAUAUUCUCCACAUCUGAUUUUCUUUUUUUCUUCUAUUUUGUUUCUUUUUUCCUUUUUUUUUUUUUUGAAUUGCACGAAUAAUGCUUAGUCCCGAGCUAUUCAAGUCUUUUGACGUGAACUAUGACAUUUUUAGAUGAAAGAGCCCAGUUACUCGAUCUUUCAUAGCUCCAGGACUAUUUACUCAUGGAUAUCGCCACUUUUUGACGCGAGAGCUGACACUUGUGGUGAAAACUCCCGGUUACUAGGUGGCGACACUAGCGGAGUAUAGCCAUACGUUAUUCACCAAAAAACACCAAGAUACCAAAUAAUUACAGAUCAUAGCCUGCGUCAUGUCCUAAAUAUGGAGAACUAAGGUAACCAGGAGACCAAACUACACAACAAUGCCGGCAAAAUAUUUAUAUUGCCUAAACAAGUUAGCCAUAAAUUGCACCAAGUCGUUAAACUCAAAGUAUUCACCAAGAAAGCAUGCUUUUACUAGCCACCGAAACUCAACCCAUAGUAUAAACUACAACUAGCAAUAAAGAAGUGAGCUGCCAACAUAUUCACUAAGACAAAAGCAAGGAAAAAUCACCCAAAAGGGAUAAAGGAACAACACCUAAAAUAGAAAACACUUAAACUAAAAACAUAGGAAAAACACCCCAAAAACGGAAAACUGGAAACAUGUAGCACCCAAACUGACCCCCCUACACCUAAGUCACACAUUGCCCUCAAUGUGAAAAUGGAAAAGCAGAAAAAGGAGAAGGGCAACGGUACUUCCCUGUAGUCGUCAGAACAUGGGAGGGUUAGGCGGAAACUGAGGAGGGAACCCGGCUUGCUGCAUAAAUGCCGCUAUAUUCUGUGCUAUGCCGGCGACAUUGGUGUCAACAUUGACUAUCCGAGCCUCCAAAGCCUGCGUUUCUGAAGCCUUUAUUGGGACACAGAAAACGCGAUUGAAAAUGCGCCUUCAACUCGAGUUUUCUAAAUCGCAUUUCCUGCACAAAACUUGCAGGAAUGAAAACGCGCCUCCAACUCGCGUUUUCUAAAUCGCGUUUUCUGCACAAAACUUGCAGAAAUGGAAACGCGACUGUGCAGGUAAACGCGACUUCGAGUCGCAAUUUUUUUUUUUUUUUUGAAUCUUGACCCCUUCCUGCACUUCAUCACGCGGCCGCGUCAAGAGGAAAUGACACCUACAUAACAGCAAAAACGAAAAUUAACACCCAAAAUCAGUCAAAUUCAAGGAAAAUAGAUUUCAACUAAGACACGAAAUCAAAUAAACAAUUAAAAGAAACAAUUGGGUUGCCUCCCAAUGAGCGCCUUUCUUUAAUGUCUUUGGCUAGACAUUAUCAUGUUUUGUUCAUGGAGGAUAAAAUCUUGUGGCUCGUCUCAUUGCUUCAUCCUCUACAUAGUCCUGAUAGCCCUCAUAGAUGGAGUAAUCUUUGAGCACACGAGCUACGGUCUUCCAUGAACUAGUUGAUGGCGCCAAGUAAUCAAGCAUUGAUCGCAAUUCUUCAUCCACUCCUCCAUCAAGAGCCUUCGACGGUUCAAGAUAUUUGACCAUAGCUAUUCUUAACUCAUUCCUGCCAUGAGACUCAAGAACUUCCGGUAUAACAAAAUCAAUCCCAUUAACAGAAAUCAUGGAGUAAGAAUUAAGAAAAUGCGGGUUAGGGAAUGGAGGUGGUGUCACCACAUUUGAUGAUUCUUCACUGGAUUCUUUCACUUGAAUGGGUUGCGGUUGGGGUUUCAUUUCUUCAUUUUCAGCUUCUUUUUCAACUGCAUCUGUACAUCUCUCUUCUUGAAAAUCUUGCAGCUCCUCAUCACUAGUCAGGCAAAUUGUACUCUCAUUUUCUUCAAAAUCAACAAUGGUUUUUGAGGGCAAUUCUUCAAUUUGAGAAGCCACCAAUCGAUUUAUUCUGGAUGUCAAUAGACAUAUUUGAUCUUCCAGAUUACUCAUUGCAUCCUUCAUCAUCUCAUUUCUCAUUCGUGUCUCCUGUUGGAAUUUAUACGUAUUAGUAGCUAUUGAUUCAACCAUUUCUUCAAGAGACAUACCUGACAUAGACGAUGAUUCUGGAGACUCAUACUGCUGAAAAUUCACUGGCCCUGUUGUAUAAUUAUAGCUGGAGUUAUCCCACCAUCCUUGAUCAUACCCGUUUGGAUUAGGGUUAUACCACGUUUGAGACCAUGGUGAAAAAUCUCCAUAAUUAUUAAGUGGGACACUCAGAUUAUCUUGAUAUUCGGGGCACAUACCGGUUGAAUGAUCCCUGACAUAACAAAUUUUACAGGUUGCAGCAGCCAUUCUUUCUCUAAUAGAGUUUAGUGCCUCUGAAUAUGCAAACUUAGCGAAAAAACUAGUCUCAUCGCCUUCCCCGGAAACAAAAUCCAUUAUAUCACCAAAAUACGGAGUGUUAGAAGCCAUAAACUAUAUAAAAAAAAUAAGAGAAAAAUAAAUAAGAAAAAUAAGAAAAAAGAUGAACUCAAAAAGAAACAAAUUAACCUGGCACCAGUCCCCGGCAACGGCGCCAAAAAUUGACAGGUGCCGAACCUGUACAAUAAUAAAACCUACUCGAGAAAAAUACAGAUUUUGUAUAUAGCGGUGAGUAGGGUCGAAUCCACAGGGACUGGGGAUAAUUCGUUUCUUCUAGAGUUCAAAGUAUGGGGGGUUUUGGAUUAAAUGCUAACUAAAUAAAUUAACUGCAGAAAAUAAUUAAUUAAAAGAAAUGAUUGGGGAAACUCUAGCCAAGGGUACACAUCAGAAAUGGUUCAUGCACUGAUCAUUGAUGCAGAAAUAAUUCCAACAUUUAGCAAUAGAUUAGUUAUAGUUGUCAUACACGCGAUAAACAACCAACCCUUCUUUAAUUUCUCGAUAGCUAAGGUACGACCGUUAGCUAUUUCUCUAACCCAAAAAUAACCCUAGGUACGACCGUAGGAUUUAAUUUCUAGAUUGCAUUAAUAAUUAGAAAGGCCCAAUCCUAACCAACAAACACGCUACGAGGGUUUGUUUAAAUUAGAUCAUAUGCUCCCCUGACAUAAACCCAAUUACGCCAGUUGCUACUGAGGUAGAGAUAAUGAACAAUUACGAAUUCAAUUACCCCUAUUUAACAAAAAUAGCCUAUAUGAAUAAUUAAUUAUUGCGCACUAAUCAAUCAUACACAAGACCAUAGCAAUUAAAAUCAAGGAACAUAUAAAUACCAAUAAAUGAAGAAAAUAAUUAAAACAGAUUCGAUCUCACAGUAAUUGUCGAACCAAAUCGUCAGUUGUCCCCUUGACUAGAAAAGCUUAACCACGCCUCAUGAGAAACUCUCCCCGUUGGGAAAUAUUGUCGAACACCUGGCGUGUGUCAGAGGCCAGUCCGGAGAAAGCAAAACUAAAACUAAACUAAAAGACUAAAACUCCAGAUGUCCCUGCUACUCUACGUUAUCCCUAUUUAAGCAACAAGAGGAAGAUGACUAAAGGCUAUCUAGGUGGUCCCCACACAUGUGGACAAAGCCCUCCAAGUACUUCUUGUUCC